rnacentral:lncRNA from 1 species
UUAUUUCCCUGAUUUUUUGUGCCCCAUUCCUGUGAUUAUUCCCAUUAUUUCCCUGAUUUUUUGCACCCCAUUUUUGGUAUUUUUUGUGCCCCAUUCCUGUGAUUAUUCCAAUUAUUUCCCCUCAUUUUCAGGACCCCAUUUUUUGGGAAUAUUCUCAUUAUUCCUCCCAUUUUCGGAGACCCGUUUUUGGCAUUUAUUGCACCUCCUUUUUGUGAAUAUUCUGAUUAUUUCCCGGAUUUUUUGCGCCCCAUUUUGGCAUUUUUUGUGCCCCAUUCCUGUGAUUAUUCCCAUUAUUUCCCUGAUUUUUUGUGCCCCGUUUUUGGCAUUUUUUGUGCCCCAUUCAUGUAAUUAUUCCCAUUAUUUCCCUGAUUUUUUGUGCCCCAUUCCUGUGAUUAUUCCCAUUAUUUCCCUGAUUUUUUGUGCCCCAUUUUGCCAUUUUUUGUGCCCCGUUCCUGUGAUUAUUCCUGUUAUUUCCCUGAUUUUUUGUGCCCCAUUCCUGUGAUUACUCCCAUUAUUUCCCUGAUUUUUUGUGCCCCAUUCCUGUGAUUAUUCCCAUUAUUUCCCUGAUUUUUUGUGCCCCAUUUUGGCAUUUUUUGCGCCCCAUUCCUGUGAAUAUUCUGAUUAUUUCCCUGAUUUUUUGCACCCCAUUUUGGCAUUUUUUGUGCCCCAUUUCUGUGAUUAUUCCCAUUAUUCCCCCCAUUUUCAGGACCCCAUUCCUGUGAUUAUUCCCAUUAUUUCCCUGAUUUUUUCCGCCCCAUUCCUGUGAUUAUUCCCAUUAUUUCCCGGAUUUUUUGUGCCCCAUUCCUGUGAUUAUUCCCAUUAUUUCCCUGAUUUUUUCCGCCCCAUUCCUGUGAUUAUUCCCAUUAUUUCCCUGAUUUUUUGUGCCCCAUUCCUGUGAUUAUUCCCAUUAUUUCCCUGAUUUUUUCCGCCCCAUUCCUGU